ACCGAAAUGAGUUAUAACUAAGUUAUAACUAAAGUAUAACUUAAUUAUACCUAGGCCUUGAGGUACAAAAAAGUUAUAACUAAAAAGUAACUUUUCUGGACUUAACCAUUUUCAUGUAUAACUAAAGUGUAACUUUUUGAACUUUGUCAUUUUCAUGUAUAACUAAAAUGUAACUUUUCUGGACUGUGUCAUUUUCAUGUAUAACUAAAGUGUAACUUUUUGAACUUUGUCAUUUUCAUGUAUAACUAAAAUGUAACUUUUCUGGACUUAGCCAUUUUCAAGCAUAUCCAAUAUUUAUGUACCAGUUUUGGGACUUUGUCAUUUGAGGGUGGGGUUACCAAUACUUUUUGACACUUUCAUAGUAAUUAACUGAAUGUUAAAGACCUAUCUCAUGACCCUUUGGUCUGUGAAAAUGUAGGUGGAGCCCAAUCUAAACAGAUGUUAUUUACCUGGAGUGGCCAGGGUCUACCAAGGUGUUAAUUGCUAUAUCCCAUGACACUCUAAGAAAUACAGACAAAACAUGGUAGAAAUCUACCUGUCCAUGCUGUCUUGAUAUACACAGGACCUGUCUCAGGGACCUCUGCAGAGUUUCUGUGGUCAUAGUGUAGGUUGUAUUCCUACAUGUAAGGGUAGAUGACACACAUUCUACACCCACCCCCUCUCUCUCAGUCAUUGACUCAAUGAAUAAUUUCUGUUAUAAAUAUAGAGGUAUAAAAAAUUCAUGACAUAAAUUAUUUCAAUAAGUUAUAAGUUUUAGAAAUUAUUGUGCAAAUUAUUGUUUGAUUUCUGAUUGUGUAAUUUAUAAUACAUGUAUAUAAAGGGGGAAAAAAUACUAUUGAAAUUCCAGUGUUCAGAGGUCUUUUUAAAAACAAUUGAAUUACAAGAAAAUAGCAGUUGUGGACAGGUCAAUGCUAUCAAAACUCUGGUAUACUGGGCUUCCUCAAGAUCUAAAGAAUGCCUGUAGAUACUGGCUGUUAUUGUUAUCAAAACACCUCUCUGGGGUAGCUGGAGACCAGUGUCUGCAGAUGUCCCUCCACCUGAGAUCUAUUGUUAAAUGUUUGAUUGACAGGCAGUUUACAAUUUUGGGGCAUUAUCUUAAAAUUGGGUCUUUAACUGGAUUGACUUCUGUAAAUUUUUAGUGAUUAUUCACUUUCAAACACUUCAGUGAACUGUGUCAUUUCUUAUUUUGCCACAAAAAAGCUAGUCAGAGGGAAAUUUCAAUGUUGAAUUUUUAAAUCUUUUUCUUUUGGGGUGAUGAUUAAGGAAUUGAUCAGAAAUUGCAUGAAAAAAUUACAAAAUCCAGGAUCCUUACUUAUAGAAUAAUAAAUGCAUUGUACGAUCAAUAAAACAUUCUAUAUAUUAUAUUUUUAAUGAACUUUAUACGCUGAUACAACCCGUGAGAAUUCAAAACACCAUGUAUGAUGAUUGUUGAUCAAUUACCACUAGGUGCUAUUUAUGGAGAAUGGCAGGUCAAAUUGUUUAAUUGAAACGAAUAAUGAACUGAACACAUGUAUGAGAUAUGUCACAGUAUUUAUUAAAAAUAAGUCCAUAUGGACUUCUGUUCCAUGUUAAAAGAGACACUAUUCAUCAAUUUAGGUAUGCAUAGUCUAUCAAAAUCAAAUUAAGGCAUAUAUAUAAAAACGUCUUUUCCAAAAAAGUAUCAAAAAAUAUUUCUAUAUUCAAAUCUCAUUGGUAAAUGUGACACAAAACAAGGUAUGACUGUUAAAUGAUGUCUCUGUUCUGGACAUUGAACAUGUUCAUGUUAUAUUCCUGUUCAAUCCUGUUAGGAACUGUGAAAACAAAACAAAGUUUUUCAUUUGUAGUCAUGUCCUGUUACUUUAACAAAAGUUUCUAAUCUCCCAAUGAACGUUUCCUUGAAUCGAAUUAUUUUGUUGUCUCAACCUGUUCGUCCACAAGUAGUCUUUUGAAGAAAACCACACGGACCUACUCUCCAGCUAAGGUCAAAAGGACUGCUUGUUCCUCAGAUUUCAAAGGUCUUUUACAUAGGCUCCAAUAACAGCAACCCUGUCUGUUCCCUUUCACUGCUGUCAAACUUCAGAGCUUGGGACAACGUCAGUAGCUGCUGAUGAACACAAACCGCAAAUGCUAUUUGGGUUUCAAUAUGUUGGAUGCCAUGGAAAAGGCAUCUCAAUUAUCCAUUACAAUCCUCAAAAUAGAAACAAGAUGAGCACCAAAGUGGUCCAAGAUCCUCAACUUUUUCUGUCAGGUGUAGGAUCAUAUAUCAAACUCUUUGUCUCAUUCUGAAUCUCCGUCAACAUAUAUGAUAUGGCAAGAAAGCAGGUUCUUCAGCAACAUCUUGAAGCAACUAAAAACAAAACAAAUAUUGUAAAAGUACAUAAAUAGCACAAAUGUUUCCAUAUAAUGUUCGGUGCAACAUGUCAUUUGAUAGGCUAUUAUAUAUAUCGAUCAUAUAACCUAUGAUAUCUAUAAAUCACAAUGUGACUGAUGACGUAAAAAAGAAAUAAGUAAAUAAAUCUGCUUGACAUUGCAUUUAAACAUUUUACAAUUUGAAGUCAUUUCUGAGGGGAAAUAAAAAUUCACAAAUAAAAUGUAAUAAAUAAAAUAAUGGCUACAUGCCGGGCUUGUAACUUACGAUUAUGAAUAUUGGAUCAUUUACAAGCAUCAGAAUAUAAUGCAUAAAACGAAAUCUAGGAACUUGUUACCUUUCAACUACAUCAACAGUUACGGUACACAAUCGUAACGAAAACUAACCUGGUUAAAUGAUUUCUCAUGAAAGGCAUCGAUAAUCAUAAUGGCGACAGGGCCAGCAGUUUCACACGCCACACUUCGAUUGUCGAAAUUUUCUGAUGAAAUGUUGUCUUUUCCUUGUUGCAUUCGCCAAAGGGAUACUUUGAGUGUUGGAUUAGACUUAUCGGCAUGGAAAACCUGGUAGCUACCACGUUUGUGAGGGUACAUAGCUUCGGAGCAGUGACGAGUGUUUCGCUUUUAAUUUUAUUUCAAUCUUUGUUUUUAAAAUGGCGCCUUCUUCGUUUACAUCCGGAAUAACCGGAAGUGUGCGAAUCGGGUAUUUACGUAAAAAUAAAAAUACGUUUGAUUGUUCCUGAUCAAUUUCAGCAAAACUGAUGAAUAACUAAAAAAAAUCUCACGUAUAUACUUUACGAUUUUUAAUCAUUUGAAGUCAUAAAGGUUUUGAAUUCCUUGAUUCCGGUAUUUCCUCUAAUCGCUGAUUGGUCAAAUCGGCUCCGCUCUCCAUUUUCAAACAAGAUAGCGUCGGUUCAAGAAGGUGAAAGUUGAAAGGUUCUAUUAUUACUUUGUUCAACGAACCAUGUAUGCCCUUAUGGAGUGGAUAGAGGAAGAAAAGGUCAGCAUCAUAACCAUAUCACGCAUCAAAGAUCCAAGAAAGGAGUUUUGCCAGUAUAAAGUUGGGGAUUUGGUGAAAGCCAGCUGCCAUGGCUUUUCUGACGUGCAUCCCGCCAAGAUCUUAGAUGAUGGAGCUGAUGCCUGGUAGUGGGAUCUACAUUUAUCCCAAAGAUAUACAAGCUUUAUAUAAGCAAAAAAAAAACCCAAGAAGUGGAACUUUUCAGGAAGGGGAACCUAACUGGUGCAAAUGAAAAGACCAUUUUAAACACUAUUCCUGACGAUGCCGGGAUUCAGAGGCCAUUGUCAAGUUUUCGAUGAGGACCAAGAUUAGUUCCCAAGUCAGCCUCCAGAACAUGAAACAGACCUAGCUUUUAUACAUUCAGUAAUGUGAUAUAUAUAUAUAUAUAUAUAUAUAUGGGAUUCCCAUCAUAAGGGAUUGUCCAAUUUUUAAUGUGAUAAUAUGUACAAAGAGUUAGUGAUGAAUAUUUUAUUUAUAUUUUUGUGCCAAACUUUAUAAAUGAUUGAUUGUUUGAUGUUUUCCGCCACCCUCAACAAUUUUUCAGUUAUCUGGUGGCACCCAGUUUUUAUUGGUGGAAGAGAGAACCCAGAUACAAUGUACCUUGGAAGAGACCACCGACCUUCCGAAAGUAAACUGGGAAACUUUCUCACUUACCGGCGCGAGCGGGAUUCGAACCCGCGCCGACAGAGGUGAGAGGCCAUGUGAUUUGGAGCGCGAUGCUCUAACCACUCGGCCACCUUUAUAAAUGAAAUUAAUAUACCAAUAAUAGUCGCUGUUUAUAAUCGGUAAUGUCUUAUUAUCCCCAUCUUUUUUGUAACUUUUCCAUAACUUUUGUCGGGUAUAACUUUUUUGUAACUUUUCCAUAACUUUUGUCGGGUAUAACUUUUAUGUAACUUUCUCCAUAACUUUUGUUGGGUAUAACUUUUUUGUAACUUUUCCAUAACUUUUGUCGGGUAUAACUUUUUUGUAACUUUUCCAUAACUUUUGUUGGGUAUAACUUUUUUGUAACUUUCUCCAUAACUUUUGUUGGGUAUAACUUUUUUGUAACUUUUCCAUAACUUUUGUCAGGUAUAACUUUUUUGUAACUUUUCCACAAUUUUUGUUGGGUAUAACUUUUUUGUAACUUUUCCAUAACUUUUGUCGGGUAUAACUUUUAUGUAACUUUCUCCAUAACUUUUGUUGGGUAUAACUUUUUUGUAACUUUUCCAUAACUUUUGUCAGGUAUAACUUUUUUGUAACUUUUCCACAAUUUUUGUUGGGUAUAACUUUUUUGUAACUUUUCCAUAACUUAAGUAUAACUUUUUGAUAACUUUUGUGAAGUAUAACUUUUUUGAAGUAUAACUUUUUGAUAACUUUUAUGCACUUGUUGUAUUCAUGUUGAAAUAAAAGAUGAUAACUUAUA